AGCUCCGGGGUGUAACCACGUAAGAUUGCAAAUCUUAAGAAGCAGGCCCAACCCCUGCCGGAGCUU
rnacentral:tRNA from 1 species